rnacentral:misc_RNA from 1 species
UUCCUGCUUUCCUCUUCUUCUCGUCGAUUUAAGCUCCCAAAAUUGCUGCCUUGUUCUAGUGUGCUUUGCCGCCACUGCCUCUUGUGUUAAGCUGAUAGAGUUUUCGGAGCUAGCAAUAUCGUCAAGUUCCUACAUUUUUAUGCGACUAAAGCUGAUCGCAAAUUCGAGAAGGAACUUCAGUUUUAUUACAAGGUUAGAGAUACGGUUGCCAGUUUGACUGCACAAAAGCCCAUUACUAAGGCAACACUUGUCCAACCCCCAUGCCUCUUUGUUGUGGGACUCUAUCAGCUUUUUACCUUCACACCAAGCUCCAACCACUGCAAUCAUUUCUGAAUUACUAUGGCGAUUGGCGGCAUUAAACAAGCUAGAGAUCUGCCUCUACUCAUGAAUCGCGUCAAGUGAGCCAAGGAAACAAGGCCAAGUUACAGUGAUGACUGUGGAGGGGUUUUGUCAGUCUUGCCAUGUCAUCCACCAAAUGUUUGAUAUUUUACCCAUCUGAGAACCAAUACUCUCUUCUCCAUUUGGUUUUACAAAUUUGGCUUAUCCAAAAUGGCAUUGCUUCUGUUUAAGAAACCAACUAGUCUCACGUUGCUAGUGAGUUCCCAUUUCCUCUCAAUGGUGUCUAGUUUUUGCUCAAAGGCUUCUGCUAUUGUGGAGAAGACAAACAGCACGGUCACAAAAGCAUCUGUCAAUAACAGACGAAACCCUUCAGUGAAUUACUCUAGUAAUAUUCAUCUUUCCCCAUUAUUCAGCCAUGGGAGACCUUGUUUGGAUCGUUAUGAUAUUGAGCUUGUGGACAAUGAUACAUGGCAAAUUUCAUCAGGUUUAGCUCAUGCCUACAAAGGGUUGGAUAGGGAAAUGGAAAGGCAGUCUCAGUCUGCUACUGAAGCAUAUGAUGAGCAGGUUGAUUAUGCAGCAUCUUUGAAGGGUGACCCUGAUUUUGACGAGAUUGAUAGUAUGAGGAUUCGGGGCAAUCUUUUUUAUAAGCUUGACCGGGACUCCAAGGAGUUUGAAGAGUACAGUUUUGACUUUCACAGGAAGAAAUCCUCAAAGAGAAAGGAUGGUCCCAAGGGAAAGGAAAAGAAGGAAUCUUCAAAGAUGGAUGAUACCAGAAAAGAAAUCAAAAAGAAGGAAAGCCCAAGUUGUACUUCAGCUCUUGCAGUUAAAAACCUUCAACAGAUAGUGAAGAAUGAAAGUGUCUAUUCUGUGCUUCUUGAUGAUAUGGAUGGCUCUUGCAGUGUUGGGAAAAAGAAGGUUAGAACACCAACUUUCAAUCAGCUGACUGCUCCUUACCAUGAACCAUUUUGUUUGGAUAUUUUCAUAUCAAAAGCCUCUGUCCGUGCCUGCAUUAUUCAUCGGGUUACAAGCAAGGUGGUGGCUGUGGCACAUUCGAUAUCUAAAGACAUAAAAUUUGAUCUACCCUCAACAAGGAAUGCAGCUGCUUGUGAUGCCGUAGGAGCAAUUCUAGCACAAAGAGCUUUGGCAGAUGAUAUUCACAAUGUGGUUUACACACCAAGAAAAGGUGAGAGAUUGGAGGGUAAGCUUCAGAUUGUGCUUCAGUCUAUUAUAGAUAAUGGCAUUAAUGUGAAGCUGAAGCUUAAACAAAGGAAGCCUCAGACGGCUGGACUCCCACAUAGACCUAGUGCUUAGAGCAUUAUUGCCUAAGUGGCUGUAUAUGGACUAUGGAGUCACCUUAUUCAUCUGGCUGUGUAUAGGGCCUCCUCAUUCGUCUGCUAGUGUUGCUCUAUGGCCAUGGUAAUAUUGUUGCAACUUGCAAGAACUAGAUCUUUGAUGCUUGAAACUAAUUUCAGACUUCAGAAGCAAUCCUACUUCAAAAGCAGAGACUUUUAGUCAUGACUUCUGGUUGAGAAGUUUUAGGAAUGGCACGAGUCCCUAUAAUAUUUUCAAUGCAAAACAUGGAGGUUUUCUUUCAACAGCCAUUUCAUUUAAGUGUUGUGCUGAGUUGCAGUCAGACAGGAAAUCACAUCAUCAUGAAAAGUGGCAAACUUUCAGAAUAUUUCUGCUUCCAGUUCAUAUUGCUUGCGAUAACAAAGCAGAGCAAGCCAGUCUACUACAGAAUGUUUUGUUACUCAUGCGAAGAAGAGAGAAUAGCCUUGCAAAAUGUCUAGUGUAAUUACAGUAUCUAAUUGUGAUGCACAAAUGCUUGAAUAAAUUAAAGGCCUGUUUCCCACGAUUAAACUUUUACAGUCUGAUUAAAUUGUAGGGUCUUGUAGAAAAAUAUGCUCUUCAAUCAAUAGGAAUGUUAUAGAUGGCGGAUUCAUUAUGUAUAAAGUGAAUUAAUAUCAGUAUGAUAUCAAGGCUUUUUUUCUCGUCUUGAUUCAGUUGAUCCUUUUCUAGAUCUGUCAAUUCCAAGUUCCAUUUUGUUAUUAUGAGAUGAGUUCUUA